UUCUUCUCUCAUUGUUUUCUUUUCUUUGUUUUCCAUUUCAGAAAUUUCUUUAUACUUUUCAACCUCUUGGUUGUUAUCGUUCUUUCUUUCAAAGGAAAUUCACUGAAAUAUCCACCAAAAAUUUGAUUUUGUCUGCUACAUCUUAGAGUGGAAUAGAUUGUUCUACUCCAAAUGAUAGAGAACCCAAUUCAUCAUUUUCUAGGUAAAUUUGACAGAUAUAUAUAUUUAGAAUUUUACACUCUCAAACUCUCUCUAUGUAGUACUUUACAUACUUCAAAAUUCAUCUGCUACCAUUUAAUUAGUUAUUGUAGUGUAACUUAAAAUAUUACACUAAUAUUUUGAUUUAGUUAGUAUUACACUAAUAUUACCCAAGAUAUUUUAAAACUACACUAAUAUUUUGAUUACUGUAGUGUAACCCAAAUAGUGUAGUUUAAUUAGUCACUAUAGUGUAAUUCAUCUGCUAUCAUGAUUAUUUUUGACAAUCUUCUAUAUAGAAACGUGACUAAGGGAACGACCAAGGAAAUUUUUGUCUUUUAACUUUCAAAAAUAUCUCUUACGUGGCAGUAUCGCCUCCACAAUUUACUGUUUUCUGCAGACACUUUUUGAGAAUCAUUUUUUGCAUGAAUAAGAGCCACCUAGCUUUGUAUUGCAGUUUCAUAUUUGCAUAAUCUUCUUCUUUUCUUCUCUCUUUGUCUUCUUUUCUUUGUUUUCCAUUUCAAAAAUUUCUAUAUACUUUUCAACUUCUUGGUUGUUGUCGUUCUUUCUUUCAGAGGCAAUUCACUAGAAUAUCCACCGAAAAUAUAAUUUUGUCAGCUAUAUCUUAGAGUGGAAUAGAUUGUUCUACUACAAAUGAUAGAGAACCCAAUUCAUCAUUUUCUAGGUAAGUUCGACGGAUAUGUAUCUAAAAUUUUAUACUCUCAAACUCUCUCUAUGUAGUACUUUAUAUACUCCAAAGACCGAAUCACAUUCAUCUGCUAUCAUUUAAUUAGUUAUUAUAGUAUAAUUCAAAAUAUUACAAUAAUAUUUUGAUUAGUUAGUAUUACACUAAUAUUACCCAAGAUAUUUUAAUAUUACACUAAUAUUUUGAUUACUGUAGUGUAACCCAAAUAGAGUAGUGUAAGUCAUCUGCUACCAUAAUUAUUUUUAAAAAUCUUCUAUAUAUAAACGUGACUAAGGGAACGAUCAAGGGCAUUUUUGUCUUUUAAUUUUCAAAAAUUUCUCUUACAUGGCAAUAUCUCCUCCACAAUUUACUGUUUUCUGUAGACAUUUUUUGAGAACCAUUGUUUGCACAAAUAAGACCCACCUAGCUUUAUAUUGCAGUUUCAUGUUUGCAUAAUGUUCUUCUUUUAUUCUCUCAUUGUCUUCUUUUCUUUGUUUUUCAUCUUUGAAAUUUCUUUAUACUUUUCAACUUCUUGGUUGUUAUCGUUCUUUCUUUCAAAGGUAAUUCACAAAAAUAUUCACCAAAAAAUUAAUUUUGUCAGCUACAUCUUAAAGUGGAAUAGAUUGUUCUACUCCAAAUGAUAGAGAACCCAAUUCAUUAUUUUCUAGGUAAGUUUGACGGAUAUAUAUCUAGAAUUUAAUACUCUCAAACUCUCUCUAUGUAGUACUUUAUAUACUUCAAAGAUCGAAUCACAUUCAUCUGCUACCAUUUAAUUAGUUAUUGUAGUGUAACUCAAAAUAUUACACUAAUAUUUUGAUUAGUUAGUAUUACAAUAAUAUCACCCACAACAACAACAAUAUACUCAGUGUACUCCUACCUAGUAGGGUCUGAGGAGGGUAGAGUGUACGCAGACCAUACCACUACCUCAGGAGAAGUAGAGAGGUUAUUUUUAAUAAACCCCCGGCUUAGGAUCGAUAACAAUAUAACAAACACAAAAGAUAAGUGCAUAUAACUAGUAUGGUACGCAAGACAAACUAACAGUAUAACAAACAUAAAAAAUAAGUGCAUAUAAACUAGUACGGUAAGCAAAAUAAACUAACACUUCUAGCCACGCACAAGAAACUUCGGAUACAGAGGGGCGCACCCCUACUAUUACCGAUGCACUCCCACCCCUAACCCUCUACCCUAAUUUACGUCCUCCAGACCUUCCUAUCAAGGUUCAUGUCCUCUGUUAGCUGUAAUUGCUCCAUGUCAUGACUAAUCACCUCCCUUCAAUAUUUCUUUGGUCUACUUCUACCCUGUCUAAAACCAUCCAUAGCCAAUGUCUCACACAUCCGUAUAGGGGUAUCAGAACCCCUUCUCAUCAUGUGCUCGAACCAAUAUAACCUUACUUCUCGCAUCUUGUCCUCCGCUGAGGCAACUCUCACCUUCUCUCGAAUAAUAUCAUUCCUUACCCUAUCUUUUCUAGUAUACCCACAUAUCCAUCGCAAUAUUCUUAUCUCCGCCACGUUCAACUUUUGGAUGUGAGAGUUCUUAACUAGCCAGCAUUUCACUCUAUACAACAUAGCCGGCCGAACUAUCACUCUGUAGAACUUACCUUUAAGUUUUAGGGGCACCUUCUUAUCAUAUAGAACUCCCGAAGCUAGCCUCCAUUUCAACCAUCCUACCCUAAUACUAUGCGUGAUAUCCUCAUCAAUCUCACCAUUGCCCUGAAUCAUAGACCCAAAUACUUGAAACUCUCCCUCUUCUGAAUGGCCUGAGAGUCCAGCUUCACAACCACUCCAGCCUCCUGCAACCCAUCACUGAACUUACAUUCCAAGUACUCCUUCUUAGUUCUACUUAACCAAAAUCCUUUAGACUCAACCGUCUGUCUCCAAAUCUCUAACUUAUCAUUAACUCCUCCUCGAGUCUCGUCAAUCAAUACCAUAUCAUCUGCGAAUAACAUACACCAAGGCACCUCUCCUUGAAUAUAUCGCGUCAAAACAUCCAUCACCAAGGCAAAUAAAAAUGGGCUAAGAGUCGAUCCCUGGUGCAACCCUAUCAUGACCAGAAAGUGCUUUGAAUCUCCACCUACCAUCCUAACACGAGUCGUCGCACCAUCAUACAUAUCCUGAAUCGACCUAGUAUACGCCACGGGCACCCCUCUAGCCUCCAAGCACCUCCACAGAAUCUCUCUGAGAACUCUGUCAUAUGCCUUCUUAAAAUUAAUAAACACCAUGUGCAAGCCCUUCUUCCUCUACUGAAACUGCUCCACUCAUCUCCUCACAAGGUGAAUGACCUCAGUGGUCGGUCGACCAGGCUGAAACCAAACUGAUUCUCAGAGAUUGUCACAAUCAUUCUCAUCCUUAACUCUACCACCUUUUCCCAAACCUUCAUGGUAUGGCUCAACAACUUAAUACCUCUAUAGCUGUUGCAACUCUCGAUGUCUCCUUUGUUCUUAUACACUGGAAUCAUCGUACUCCAUCCCCACGCUUCAGGCAUCUUCGCUGCCCUAAAAAUAAUAUCAAACAACCCUGUCAACCACUCCAAACCUUCCCCACUAGUGCUUUUUUAAUAAUCCACUGUAAUCUCGUCUGGCUUCGUCGCCCUACCCUUCCGCAUCCUGUGAAUAUCUCUUUUGACCUCCUCAACAUUGAUAUGCCUACAAUAACCCUAAUCGUGAUACUCCUGAGAUUUUUAUAAGUCUCCCAACACGAAAUCUUUGUCUCCCUCGUCGUUCAAAAGUUUAUGAAAUAUACUAAUAUCACCCAAGAUAUUUUAAUAUUACACUAAUAUUUUAAUUAUUGUAGUGUAACCCAAAUAGUGUAGUUUAAUUAGUUAUUGUAGUGUAAUUCAUCUGCUACCAUAAUUAUUUUUUAAAAUCUUCUAUAUAGAAACGUGACUAAGGGAAUGACCAAGGGCAUUUUUGUCUUUUAACUUUCAAAAAUAUCUCCUACAUGGUAGUAUCUCCUCCAUAAUUUACUAUUUUCUGCAGACACUUUUGAGAACCAUUGUUUGCACAGAUAAGAUUCACCUAGCUUUGUAUUGCAAUUUCAUGUUUGUAUAAUCUUUUUUUUUUCUCUCAUUGUCUUCUUUUCUUUGUUUUUCAUUUUUGAAAUUUUUUUAUACUUUUCAACUUCUUGGUUGUUAUCGUUCUUACUUUCAAAGGCAAUUCACUGAAAUAUCCAUUAAAAAUUUAGUUUUGUUAGCUAUAUCUUAGAGUGGAAUAGAUUGUUCUACUUCAAAUGAUAGAGAACCCAAUUCAUCAUUUUCUAGGUAAAUUUGAGGGAUAUGUUUCUAGAAUUUUAUACUCUCAAACUUUCUCUAUGUAGUACUUUAUAUACUUUAUAGACCGAAUCACAUUCAUCUGCUAUCAUUUAAUUAGUUAUUGUAGUGUAACUCAAAUUAUUACGCUAAUAUUUUGAUUAGCUAGUAUUACACUAAUAUUACCCAAGAUAUUUUAAUAUUGCACUAAUAUUUUGAUUGUAGUGUAACCCAAAUAGUGUAGUUUAAUUAGAUACUGUUGUGUAAUUCAUCUGCUACCAUAAUUAUUUUUGAAAAUCUUCUAAAUAGAAACGUGACUAAGGGAACGACCAAGGGCAUUUUUGUCUUUUAACUUUCAAAAUUAUCUCCUACAUGGCAGUAUCUCCUCCACAAUUUACUGUUUUCUGCAGACACUUUUUGAGAACCAUUGUUUGCACAAAUAAGACCCACCUAACUUUGUAUUGCAGUUUCAUGUUUGUAUAAUCUUCUUCUUUUCUUCUCUCAUUGUCUUCUUUUCUUUGUUUUUCAUUUUUGAAAUUUCUUUAUACUUUCAACUUCUUGGUUGUUAUGAUUCUUUUUUUCAAAGCCAAUUCACUGGAAUAUCCACCGAAAAUUUAGUUUUGUUAGCUACAUCUUAGAGUGGAAUAGAUUGUUCCACUCCAAAUGAUAGAGAACUAAUUUCAUCAUUUUCUAGGUAAUUUUGACAGAUAUGUAUUUAGAAUUUUAUACUCUCAAACUCUCUCUAUGUAGUACUUUAUAUACUUUAAAGAUUGAAUCACAUUCAUCUGCUGUAAAACCUCGUACUUUUCCUAGUUUAAUUUAGCGUCGAGAAUGUCAAGCGUUAGCUUUAAGAAAGAAUGAUUUUUCAUAUAUGUGCAAUUUUCCAGUUUUAGACCCUCCAAUGCAUAGAAAAUAUAAUUAGCUUUUCAACGAUAUAAGAUUCACCUAAAUCUGAUAACCGAGUAAGAAGUUAUGGCUAUUUUAAGUUUCAGUCGUAAAACACCGUGAUUUGGGCCCGUAGCGCGUUGCGGAGAAGUGAAAAAUCACAAUUGUCAAAUUUUAGUGAGACUCCACAAUCAUGGCGCGUCACGGAAGAGUCCCAUUUUACAUUUGGCAAUUUCCUGCGAGCCUACGUGAUAUUGGCGCGUCGCGCCAGUGGCCAAAAUGGCAAUCCAAAGGGGCACCGCGAUUGUAGCACAUCGCGGUGAACGCCCAAUUUUCACUCGUCCUUUUCCAGUGAGCCACCGCAAUAGUGACGCGUCAUGUGGCCUAUUAAAUCAGAAUUUUUAGUUGUUUACCAGUUCUGAUUUAAGUUUAAUAGAGGCAUUUUGGUCAAUCCACAAGGCCCCAAUCUGUCUUAAACAAAGAAUUAAGCAUUUACCAAAGCAAUUUAUGCUUGUUUCAUCAAUUCUUUCUCAAAAAAAAACCCUAAAGCUCAAACUUUCUCUUCAACAAAACCCAAAUUCUCCAUUAAUUCUCUAAGGCAAUUCAAGAUUAAAAAUUUUCAAUUCAAGAAUUCUAAGAAUUCAUCUUCAAAGGCAUCAAUAGAGAUCCAAGAUUCAAGUCUUAGCAUCUUGUUCAUCAAUUUAGGUAUGUGGAGUUUUCAAUAAGGAUAGUUCUUUCAUCCUUGUGCCCAAAACUUAUUUUAAUUACAAAUUUACUGAAUUUUAUGUGAUUUCCCAUGAAAUUAAAGUUAGGGUUUAUACCCAAUAUUGCUAUUUAUGAGAUUAUGAGAUUUCAAGUGAUUUAGAAGUUGAGAUACAUGUCUAUGUUUAUAUUUUCAUGCAUAUUACAGAAAUUUCCAGAUUUUAAGUUGAUUUAUAAAUGUUUACAUUACCAAGCAUGAAUAUGAUGAUGUUUUAACAUGAAAUUGAUGCAUGAGUCAUUAAGCCCUAAUUAAAGAUUGCUAUUUUAAGAUUUAUUUGUGCUAUGAGCACCUUAUGAUAAGAUUAUUCUCAGAUUUUCGAUUAAGAUUUGACCUUUUGGUCCUAAGAUAAGAUAAAGAAUCCACAUUGUUCAUAUGACUUGAGAUUUAAAGAACGAAAAACAUAAUUGGUUUUCUUGUAAACCCUUGUGCUAUUUUUGAAGUAGAUUUAUUAAAAUCCCAAGCAUAAGAAUGAGAGUAAUAUUUAGCACCGAGAUGGGUAUGUUACCAAGGUUUCAUGCUUUAGAACUAUGUGCCACCAUAGGAUUAAGAUUAUUUCCACUUCUACAUGGAUGACUACGAUUGUGAUCACUUAAGAUAAGAAGUUCUAUUUUGAAGGCAAGGGUAGAACAACUCUCCCCAACGUGGGUAAGACGUUGGACUCCAAGAAUGCUCACAUGGUUUAUGUCGGUUAGAAGAACCUCCCAAAAGAAGUCCCCUACUCUUAAAACAGUCUAUUGGUUUAAAGCCUUAAGAUAAAAACAUAUGUUUUGGAAGCUAUGGUUUUUAAGAUUCUUAAAGUUUUGAGAUGAAGUAUUCUCCUUACAGUUGACAAGAUAAUGUAGUAGUUUUUAGAAAGAACAGAUUUUAGAACUGAAUGUAAUGGCUCAUAAGAUUUAUAUUUAUGCUUUAUUGUUCGUGAUUUAUGAUCUUCAAUUUUCAGAUUGCUCAUGCCUAUGUAAGUCAUUUACAUUUAGCAUGCAUGAUUUUAUAAAUUGUGAUGAUAUUGUUUACUUAUUACAUUCACCCCAUAUGCUUAGUACAUUCUCCAAGUACUGAUCCACAUAUACGUCUAUGUACUACAUUGCCUCAUAAUGUAGGUUCAGGUGCUCAGUCUUAGCAGCGUGAGUGAUUUUCAAGCAUCUCAUAUAUAUCUCUACAGUUGGUGAGUUCUCAUAGUUAGGGGAUUUACCUAUUCAGGUUUUCAGUUUAUUACUAGAUGAUUCAGUAUGCAUUUCAGAUAGUUUGAGUCAGCUGAGGCCUGUCCCAGUGACUCUCUAGAUUCAUUUUCAGUAGAGGCUUGUCGGACUACUAGAUUUAGUUUUAGAUUUUAGUUGCAGUAUUUAGAUUUUUAGUAUUUGCUUUAUUAGACUGAUGAGAUUAACAUUUUCAGAUAUAUUUAGAUAAUUCCGACGGUUUUUCGCAUUUAUUAUGAUUUUACAUUCAUAUUCUCCUAUUUUGAGAUUCAGAUUUAGUAGAAGGCAGCCAGGAUUAGCUCAGGACUACUUGUAGUUCGGAGCACCGUGUGGCAUCCCAGGAAAUCAGAUUUCGGAUCGUUACAUCUUCUAUCAUUUAAUUAGUUAUUGUAGUGUAAAUCAAAACAUUACACUAAUAUUGCCUAAGAUAUUUUAAUAUUAGACUAAUAUUUUGAUUACUGUAGUGUAACCCAAAUAGUGUAGUUGAAUUAGUUACUAUAGUGUAAUUCAUCUGCUACCAUAAUUAUUUUUGAAAAUCUUCAAUAUAGAAACGUGACUAAGGGAAUGACCAAGGGCAUUUUUUUCUUUUAACUUUCAAAAAUAUCUCUUACGUGGCAGUAUCUCCUCUAUAAUUUACUGUUUUCAAAAGACACUUUUGAGAACCAUUGUUUGCACAGAUAAGACCCACCUAGCUUUGUAUUGCAGUUUCAUGUUUGCGUAAUCUUUUUUCUUUCUUUCAUUGUCUUCUUUUCUUUGUUUUCCAUUUCUGAAUUUUUUUUAUACUUUUCAACUUCUUGGUUGUUAUCGUUCUUACUUUCAAAGGCAAUUCACUAAAAUAUCCAUCAAAAAUUUAGUUCUGUCAGCUACAUCUUAGAGUGGAAUAGAUUGUUCUACUCCAAAUGAUAGAGAACCCAAUUCAUCAUUUUCUAGGUAAGCUUGACGGAUAUUUAUCUAGAAUUUUAUACUCCCAAACUUUCUCUAUGUAGUACUUUAUAUACUUCAAAGACCGAAUCACAUUCAUCUGCUACCAUUUAAUUAGUUAUUGUAGUGUAACUCAGAAUAUUACACUAAUAUUUUGAUUAGUUAGUAUUACACUAAUAUUACCCAAGAUAUUUUAAUACUACACUAAUAUUUUGAGUACUGUAGUGUAACCCAAACAUUGUAGUUUAAUUAGUUACUGCAGUGUAAUUCCUCUACUAUUACAAUUAUUUUUGAAAAAUCUUCUAUAUAAAAACGUGACUAAGGGAACGAUCAAGGGCAUUUUUGUCUUUUAACUUUCAAAAAUCUCUCCUACGUGGCAGUAUCUCCUCCACAAUUUACUGUUUUCUGCAGAACUUUUUGAGAACCAUUGUUUGCACAAAUAAGACUCACUUAGCUUUGUAUUGCAGUUUCAUGUUUGCAUAAUCUUUUUCUUUUCUUCUCUCUUUGUAUUCUUUUCUUUGUUUUCCAUUUCAGAAAUUUCUUUGUACUUUUCAACUUCUUGGUUGUUAUCGUUCUUUCUUUCCAAGGCAAUUCACUGGAAUAUCCACCAAAAAUAUGGUUUUGUCAGCUAUAUCUUAGAGUGGAAUAGAUUGUUCUACUCCAAAUGAUAGAGAACCCAAUUCAUCAUUUUCUAGGUAAAUUUGAUGGAUAUGUAUCUAGAAUUUUAUACUCUCAAACCCUCGCUAUGUAGUACUUUAUAUACUUCAAAGAUCGAAUCGCAUUCAUCUGCUACCAUUUAAUUAGUUAUUGUAGUGUAGCUCAAAAUAUUACACUAAUAUUUUGAUUAGUUAGUCUUACACUAAUAUUACCCAAGAUAUUUUAAUACUAUACUAAUAUUUUGAUUAUUAUAGUGUAACCCAAAUAUUUUAGUUUAAUCAGUUACUAUAGUGUAAUUCAUCUGCUAUUAUAAUUAUUUUUGAAAAUCUUCUAUAUAGAAACGUGACUAAGGGAACGACCAAGGACAUUUUUGCCUUUUAACUUUCAAAAAUAUCUCCUACGUGGCAGUAUCUCCUCCACAAUUUACUGUUUUCAAUAGAAACAUUUUGAGAAUCAAUAUUGUUUGCAUAAAUAAGACUCACCUUGUAUUGCAGUUUCAUGUUUGCAUAAUCUUCUUCUUUUCUUCACUCAUUGUCUUCUUUUCCUUUCUUUGUUUUGCAUUUUUGAAAUUUCUUUAUACUUUUCAACCUCUUGGUUGUUAUCGUUCUUUCUUUCAAAGGAAAUUCACUGAAAUAUCCACCAAAAAUUUGAUUUUGUCUGCUACAUCUUAGAGUGGAAUAGAUUGUUCUACUCCAAAUGAUAGAGAACCCAAUUCAUCAUUUUCUAGGUAAAUUUGACAGAUAUAUAUAUUUAGAAUUUUACACUCUCAAACUCUCUCUAUGUAGUACUUUAUGUACUUCAAAGACUGAACCGCGUUCAUCUGCUACCAUUUAAUUAGUUAUUGUAGUGUAACUCAAAAUAUUACACUAAUAUUUUGAUUAGUUAGUAUUACACUAAUAUUAUCUAAGAUAUUUUAAUACUACACUAAUAUUUUGUUUAUUGUAGCGUAAUCCAAAUAGAGUAGUUUAAUUAGUUACUGUAGUGUAAUUCAUCUGCUACCAUAAUUAUUUUUGAAAAUCUUCUAUAUAGAAACAUGACUAAGGGAACGACCAAGGGAAUUUUUGUCUUUUAACUUUUAAAAAUAUCUCCUACGUGGUAGUAUCUCCUCCACAAUUUACUGUUUUCUACAGACACUUUUUGAGAAUCAUUGUUUGCAUAAAUAACUCACGUAGCUUUGUAUUACAGUUUCAUGUUUGCAUAAUCUUUUUCUUUCCUUCUCUCAUUGUCUUUUUUUUUUUGUUUUCCAUUUCAGAAAUUUCUUUAUACUUUUCAACUUCUUGGUUGUUAUCGUUCUUUCUUUCAAAGGCAAUUCACUAGAAUAUCCACCGAAAAUAUGGUUUGGUCAGCUAUAUCUUAGAGUGGAAUAGAUUGUUUUACUCCAAAUGAUAGAGAACCCAAUUCAUCAUUUUCUAGGUAAGUUUGACGAAUAUGUAUCUAAUAUUUUAUACUCUCAAAUUCUCUUUAUGUAGUAUGUUAUAUACUUCAAAGACCGAAUUAAAUUCAUCUGCUACCAUUUAAUUAGUUAUUAUAGCGUAACUCAAAAUGUUACAAUAAUAUUUUGAUUAGUUAGUAUUACACUAAUAUUAUCCAAAAUAUUUUAAUAUUACACUAAUAUUUUGAUUACUGUAGUGUAAUCCAAAUAGUUUAAUUUAAGUAGUUAUUGUAGUGUAAUUCAUCGGCUGCCAUAAUUAUUUUUGAAAAUCUUGGGGUUUAAGAUACAUGAUAUUACAAAAUAUUACUACUAACAAGAUGAAAAGGAUAUGGUGCUAGUUGUUGCCUCUUCCACUUAACGGGCAAUCAUAUUCGACAAACUACUAACCUUCCACACUAAUUUUUAAUCUUUGCAUUUUUAUUUAUGGUUAUGUCCUCACUAAGGUAUGUACAUCUCAAUUCCUGAGAAUAUUGAUCUUUGAAUACUGGUUAUGUUUAGCAGAUAUAUAUAUCCUAGAUUGACUUUAUUGUGGACAUUUAUGUUAGGUGUUACUGUAGUUUAUGGUAUAGCAACAAUAUUGGGGAUUCCAUUAUUUUCAUGUUUUGCAAUAAGUGUUAGAUUUCUCAUAAAAUUCUCAAAAUAGUGUAGCGCAAAAUAUUCUUUACAUACAUUGUAUUGGAGCAUUCAUCCAAGCUUGACUAUCUAGAGUAGUCCUUCUAAAAUAUUAUUUUUGCACGAUAACCAUAUGAUAUCCUUAUCAAUGAUUAUUGAUUCAUUCAAUAGUGUUUAGGCUAAUGUGUCUGCUAAGAAAAUUAAUGCAAUUAGACCACACAAAAGGUAAUAUGUACUAUGCAAUGUCAUUGACAGACAUCUGUCAAAGGAAUACAAUAAUUUAUGGCUUUCAUGUCACAACAUUGUGGAGCGGGAUAGUGAAGAUGGAAUGUGCCUUAUCUGUUAAGGAUGAUAAAGUUACAAGGCAGGAAAAUCUGUUUUAUUAAAUGAGCUAAUUUGCUCAAGUAAAUCAUCUGCUGAUAGAAAUAAAAUUUCAGUAAGGUUUAUCACAAAAUAUUUUAUUAUUAUUACUUCUCAUGCAAUCAACAUUUAUUUAUUCGAUUUGGUGCUUAUAGUCGGAGUAUUAUGGAUGCGUAUGAACUUUUUUCACGAUACAUUAUUCACUUGCUUCAUCUUUUCAAUUUCUUGGAUACAUCACUCUCCCUCUCUUUAAUCAGGAACCCCAAAUCCCCACUGCAAAAGUAAAGACUUUUUAUGAAAGUUAUUAAUAGCUGCUCUAUUUAGUUCUCUUUGAAACGCGUAAAAGAUAAGAAUAUCACAAACUUUAUUGUUAUUUAACAUCCACUCUGACUUACAUUUGUUUAUGAUAUUCUUCAUUCAUUUUUUGUAUGAUCAAAGUCUUUCUAACUAGGUAACCGAUUGAAUCAAUUGUGUUGGUCUUUAUAAUUAUAUUUCGUGGAUUUAGGGUUCCUUGUUAAAUUGAAUAAUUGAAGGUUGAAAGUGCAGAAAUUGAUACAUGGUGCUAAAUCAGAUUGUAUCAAAUGUUGGUUCCUGGACUCGGAACAAGAUUGUUGAUCCUCUUUUCCACAUUCUAUAGAGGCACCUAAUGUUUACCCUUUUAUUGCUUUAGGUGUCUCACAUAGUAUGUGUUUGAUGUAUGAGUGAAUUGAAAUGGUUAUUUAGGGAGAAAAGAUUGUGCUUUUAUGAGUAGAAAGAACUAGUUCAGAUUAGUAACAACUUGCUUGGAUGCUUGUUAUGUAUUAGUAUUUCAUAGUGUAUUCUAUUAUACUGAAAGAUUGUAUCCUUUUUCGUUUCGAAAUAUCACAUCACCAACUUGAAGAAUACAGUUACAAUAUUAAGAAGAAAAAGUAUAGUACAGAUAGAGGUAAAAUAGGACUCUUAAGUAUUCCCUUCAUUUUAAUUCCUUUGUGGCCUUUCCUUUUUAAUCUGUAUGCCUUUUUCAUUUUAUGAAAACUCUCUAAUUAUGACUUUUUACCGGGCAUGUCUAAGACCACAAGAUUAAAUAACAGUUUGGUAUUCUACGUAUCUUUAGUUUAGGAUCAUAAUUUGUUUACCCUUUUACCCUUUUCUUGCUUAAGGUGUUUUGAUAUAUGUGUCUGAUGUAUGAGUGAAUUGAAAUGCUUAAAGAUUGCAGUUUUAGUGAGCGUUUGGCCAUGAAAACUAUAAUUUUUGAAGUUGGAAUCGAAGUUAAAAUUGAAGUUGGAGUUGGAGUUGUGUUUGUCUAUAAAUAUAAUUGGAGUUGUUUUUGAAUUUUUGUGAGAGAAGGAAGAUAGGAAAAAGUGAAAAUAACUUUUUCUUAUUUUUCACUUUUUCAAAUACAACUCCAAGUUGUGUUUGGAAUUCUCAUGGCCAAACAUCAACUUGGAGGAGAUUUUGACAUAAAGUGAUUUUUUUUUCCAGAAAAGUGAAAAAAAUUCAUGCCCAAACGGACCCUUAUACUGAGAACUAGAUCGGAUUAGUAACUACUUGAUUGGAUGGUUGUUAUAUAUCCUUUCAUAGUAGACUGUUUUGUGUUUUAUUGUACUGUACUGAUAGUAAUAGUGCAGUCAGAAAUUUUGUUAAGGACGUUCAAGAUUUAAUAUUUAAUAUUUACAUAUGAAAAGUAAUUUUUAUCUAUGUAGUUUGUAUAAUUUUCUAUUAUAUAAUAUAUUUUGUUGAGGAAAGAUAUUCGUCUUGCUGUCUGUACUGCAUAUGGCUAAGCCAGUAACUGAUAGAUUGUAUCUUUCUCAUCAUUUCAUAAUAUCACUCCAGCUAUUUGAAGAAUACACUUAAAAUAUUAUAAAGAAAAAGUAUGGUAUAAAUAGAUUUUUUGUUUUAAAAAAUGAAAAAGUAAAUAGUAAAAUAGGUUGAUCAGACACUUUUUUUUUUUCAGUUUGUUUGUCUGGUCUUGACUUUUUGGAGUUUUAAGAAAUUAAAGAAGAUUUUUGAAUUAUGUGAUCUUAAAUUUAAGAUAUGCAGAAUAUACCAAAUUAUUUUUUAGUCUUGUGGUCUUAAGUAUGCUAGCAAGAAAGUUGGAACUAAAGUGUUGUUAAAAAAGAAAAGAGACAUUGUUCUUGAGACGGACUAAAAAUGAAGUAAGACAGACAAAUUGAAGCUAAUGGAGUAAUAAAUAACGUAAAGAUGGGAAAGUUGGGUAACGAGCAAUCACACCAUAUCGGUCGUUACAUAAAGUAGUACUUUUCAUUGUUAUAUUUAUUUACACUAAACUCUUUUACACCACUCCACAUUGUACUCAUCUCCUUUUCAUAGUGAAACCUCCUCUGCCUCUGCCUGUGGUUUUUUCCACAAGGGUUUCUACGUAAAUCUGUGUGUUUUUGUUUUCUUUCUGCUUAUGGUUUGAUUUAUUUCUGCCCGAUUUCUAACAAACUGGUAUCAGAGAUUGGUUGAUAUUUUUUCGGGGAUGGAAACCAUGAAGUAUGAUAUUCCGUUGUUGGAUUGCAACACCAAAUUUUUGUUAUGGCAAGUUAAGAUGCGGGUUACGCUAGCGCAAAUGGAUUUGGAUGAUGCGCUAUUAGAGUUUGAUCACAUGCCCUUGUCAUGGACAGAUGAUGAUAAACAACGUAAGGAUCGAAAGGCUUUGUCACAGAUCCACCUUCACUUAUCCAAUCAGAUUCUACAUGAUGUUUUAAAGGAGACCACUACCGCUGCUUGUGGUUGAAAAUGGAACCUUUAUGCAUGACAAAGAGCCUAACAAGUAAGUUGCAUCUCAAACAACGACUUUAUUCCCAUUGUAUGUCUGAGGGUGCAUCUUUAGAAGAUCAAAUAUCUGUCUUUAAAGAAAUCAUCCCUGAUUUAGAGACUUUGGAGAUUAAGUACGAUGAGGAAGAUUUAGGAUUGAUCUUGUUGUGUUCGCUGCCUGCACCAUAUGCGACCUUUAGCGAUAUAAUUUUAUAUAGUCGUGAUACCCUGACCAUAGAUGAAGUCUAUGAUGCACUGUUCUCUAAGGAGAAUAUGAAGCAUCUCAUGAAUAGGUCGAAAACUCAAGGAGAUGGUCGCAUUAUUUAAGGAAGGACUCGUGGAGGAACUCUGGGGGUGAUGAUAAGUUUCGAUCAAAAUCUAAAAAUAGAAACAAAACCUGUAAUUACUGCAAGAAAAAGGGUCACAUUAAAUCCGAGUAUUAGAAGUUACAUAAUAGAGAGAAAAAAGAAGCUCCAAAACCGAAGAAAAACCAACCAGAGAAGUCCGAUGAAGUCAGUUUUAUUGAAUAUGGCGGUAGUGAUGGAGAAUUCUUGGUAGUUUUUGAUGGUAACUGCAAACCCUAUGAGGAUUGGAUUCAUGAUUCAACUUGCAUGUUUCAUAUAUGUCGUAAUCGGGAUUGGUUUACAACAUAUAAAACAGUUUCUAAAGGUGCUGUGUUGAUGGAAAAUAACACACCUAGUAAGAUAGUUGGUAUUAAAACAAUCAGAAUUAAGAUAUUUGAUGGGGUUGUGAGGUCACUUGGUGAUGUGUGGUAUGUCCCAGACCUGAAGAGAAAUCUUAUUUCCUUGAGUACUCUUGAUUUGAAUGGAUAUAGGUACAUUGGUAAAGGUGGAGUCCUGAAGGUUGCUAAAGGCGCUCUUGUUGUGAUGAAGGGACAGAGAAAGUCUGCAAAUUUGUAUGUCUUGCAAGGCUCUAUGUUUACAGGUGAUGUAGUUGUUUCUACCUCCUCUCUAUCAGAAAGUAACGUUGCUAAACUUUGGCAUAUACACCUGGGGUAUAUGAGUGAAAAUGGGAUGGCUGAACUAAGUAGGAGAGGACUUCUUGAUGGGCAGAGUAUUACCAAAUUAGAGUUCUUUGAGCAUUGAAUUUUUGGGAAGCAGAAGAGAGUUAGAUUCACUAAGGGAUUUCACUCAACUAAUGGCACACUUGAUUACAUUUAUUCUGAUUUCUGGGGACCUUCUAGAGUACCUUCUAGAGGAUGUGUGAAUUACUUGUUGACUAUUAUUGAUGACUGUUCCAAAAAAGUUUGGGUAUUUUUCCUGAGGCAAAAGAAUGAUGUGUUGCCUACUUUUUAGGAGUGGAAGAUUAUGAUCGAAAAGAAAAAAGGGAAGCAGGUAAAACACCUUCAGACUGAUAAUGGUUUAGAAUUCUGUUCUAAUGAAUUUAAUUCUCUGUGCAAGUCAAAAGGAAUUGUGAGGCCGAAUAAGUGAAUAGGACUAUAAUGGAGAAGGUGCAUUGUAUGCUCUCUAAUGAUAGUUUACCCAAGUCUUUUUAGGUCGAAGCUGCUUCCACAACUUAUCUUCUUAUUAACCGCUCUCCCUCAGUCGUUAUUGAUAAAAAGUCUUCACAAGAGGUAUGGUCUGGUGCUCCUAUUAGUUAUUCUGAUUUGAGGAUAUUUGGAUGUACUGCGUAUGCUCAUGUUGAUAAUAGAAAGUUGGAGCCUAGAUCUGUCAAGUGCUUAUUUAUGGGUUAUAAGCCUGGUGUUAAAGGUUAUAAGCUUUGGUGUCCAGAAAGCAUAAAGGUUAUAAUUAGCAGAGAUAUUGUGUUUGAUGAAACUGCCAUGCUUCGAGCUCCCUCUAAAUUUAGUGCUUUACCUCCAGAUGAGCUUAGUGACAUGAAUCAACAACAAUCAAGCACCCACAUUGAAUUGCAGAUUGGAUCAGAGUCUACACCGGUGCCUACUUCUCAGUCUAGCCCAGAGAUACAGAGUGGUACUAUUUCUUCUUCACCAUCAGUGAUGCCACAAUAUUUUAUUGCUAAAGACAGGCCUAGAAGAGAUAUUAGACCUCCUCAGAAGUAUGUUGAAGCUGAUUUGAUUGCUUAUGUAUUGAAUGUAGCAGAAGGUAUUAAUUUUGAUGAAGAUCCUUCUUCUUACUCAGAUACAGUUAGUUGUGAUAAUUUCGACCGAUGGAUGAUUGCUAUGCAGAAAGAGAUGAAAUCACUUCAUAAGAAUGGCAUAUGGGAUCUGGUGAGAUUGCCUAAAGAUAAAAAAACUGUUAGUUGCAAGUGGGUAUUUAAAAAUAAAGAAGGAACAUCGAGAUUUGAAAAUGCUAGGAACAAAGCAAGACUAGUUACUAAAGGUUACAGUCAGGUUCCAGGUGUUGACUUCAUAGAUGUGUUUUCUCUAGUUGUAAAGCAUAGUUCGAUUUGAGCUUUGUUUGGUAUUGUGGCCAUACAUGAUCUUGAGUUUGAUCAGUUGGAUGUCAAAACGCAUUCUAACAUGGAGGAGGAUAUCUAUAUACAACAACCAAAGGGUUUUGUAGUCUCAGAAAAGGAGGACUACGUAUACUUGCUGAAAAGUCUCUUUAUGGCUUAAAACAGUCUCCCAGGCAGUGGUAUAAGAGGUUUGACUCUUUCGUGACGUCUCAUAUGUUUUAGAGAAGUAGUUAUGAUAGUUGUGUCUACUUCAAGGAGGUAAGUGAUGGUUCAUUCAUGUAUUUUCUUUUAUAUGUUGAUGAUAUAUUGAUUGCAGCAAAGGAUAUAAGAGAGACAAUAAAAGUUAAAGCCCAACUCAACAAGGAGUUUGAGAUGAAGGAUCUAGGAGCAACAAAGAAGAUUCUUGGUAUGGAAAUUAUGAGAGAUAGAAAGAAGUGUAAGUUAUACUUGAGUUAGAAAAGGUAAAUUGAGAAAGUGCUUCACAUGUUUAAUAUAAAAAAUGCCAAACCUGUAAGUGCUCCAUUGGCAGCUCACUUCAAACUCUCGGUCACUUUUUCUCCAAAAAUAGAUGAUGAGCGUAACUAUAUGUCUUGAGUUCCAUACUCUAGUGCCGUCGGGUCUCUUGUGUAUGCGAUGGUGUAUUCUUGACCAGAUUUAUCUUAUAUCAUCAGUGCAGUUAGCAGAUACAUGGUAAAUCCUGUCAAAGAACAUUGGAAAGUAGUUUAGUGGAUUUUCAAAUACUUACAUGGAUCUUCUGCUGUUUGCUUAUAGUUUGGGUGAAAUAGAGAUGGAGUAAUCGGGUAUGUUGAUUCUAAGUUUGCAGGAGAUUAUGAUAAAAGGAGGUCUCUUAUAGGCUAUGUUUUUACCAUUGGUGGUUGUGCUAUUAGUUGGAAAGCUACCUUACAGACUACGGUUGCUUUGUCAACAACUGGGGCAGAGUACAUGACUAUUACAGAGGCUUCAAGGCAGCUAUUUGGUUGAAGGGUCUAUUUGGUGAACUUAGCAAAGACUUAAAAAUUACUACAGUUUUUUGCGAUAGAUAAAGUGCUAUCUUUCUUAUGAAAGAUCAGAUGUUUAACGAGAGGACAAAGCACAUCGAUGUUCGGUAUCAUUUUAUGCGUGAAAUUAUUGCUCAUGGUGAUAUUGUGGUGAGCAAGAUUAAUACUCAUGAUAAUCCUGCUAAUAUGAUGACCAAGAUACAACCAAGUGCCAAGUUUGAGCAUUGCUUGGACUUGGUUAGUGUUUAGCUAUUAAGACGUGCCCUUAGGGUUUUUUUGUGGAAGUAUUGGAGAGUUUGUCUUGAAAUGAAUUUGAGUUUUGAAUUAGAAUUUGUGUCAAGGUAGAGUUUAUUUGUAAUGCCCUGAUUUUCUAAACAGGAAUGCUACACGGUGCUUAUGACCCCGAAGGAUCACAAGCUAACCCAUGACUGAUAUCUGUACCUAUACACUGCAAUAUAUAAUGUAAUAAUACAGAAAACAUGAACAUGUAGGCCAUAAGGUUCAAUUAAAUAAAGAAUUUGUCAAAAUAUAACAUCCAUAUGGGUGAAAGAUACCCAGAAUAACUGAAAACUAAAUCAAAUCUGAACAUAAGUCUGAAUACUGAAUCUGAAAGCCUGUAAGUGUUGUCUGAAUAAGGAGUUGAAGGAACAUGUCUUCAACUAACUCCGUAAACCGAUAACUGGCUAAAAUAAUAAUGAAUAAAUCAAAUCAUAUUGUCCUCAAAUGAAGUGGACUCACUGAAUCUCUACGACUAAAAAUGCUACUGCUACUGCUGAUCUGGAGCUCGUGUCUCUGAACCUAUGGUGUAAUAUGAAAAGAAAGCACCAUAGCGCAGUUAGUAAGAGGGAAUAUACUGAGUAUACGAGUGAGGUAGGCUAAAUAUAAAUAGGGUUUACAUGCAUGAACAAUGCUAACUGUCUGACUGACUUGAAUGUAAGAGUACAAACAUGCAUACAUAGUAACUGAAAUCAUGGGUGCAUGAUAGCUAGUCCUGUAUGCUAAUACAUGGUUUACUGAUGGCUAACAUGACUGAUACUGAAAUUCUGAUAACAUGGGCGACUGUAUCUGACAAUCCUAAAUCUGAUGGAACUAUCUGAGUUCCGUAUUGUAACCGAGUCUGACUGUAUCUGACAGUCCUGAUAUACUAAAAUCUGAAGACCUAUCUGAGUUCUUUUACUAAAACUGAUUCUAAAACGGUGGGAGGUAGUUGUUUAACCGACAUUCCCCAAUAACGUAUAUAGCUAAGUUGGAGUCCAAUCUCUGCCCCGACUGGAGGGGUGUCAAUACCACGACACUGGUAAGGACAAUUAUAGGUGACCCUUAGCUGGUAGGUAUUCGAAAGGAGAACGAUGGGAACCCUAAACUGACAGGUUAAGCCACCUCAUCAACCCUAAUCUGAUAGGCUAAGAUGUUUCAACCUACGCUGGCUAUGUAGUUCUGGAAUAGAAGGAUGACUGCUAAGAAUCACACCCUAAACUGGUAGGUGAGUACCCAUCCUUGGGUUCACUCGGUACUAACUUCUACUCCCAUCUGAAGAGACUAAACAUGAUUCAACUGACUAUACAUGGAAAGAUUAACUGACUUUUGUUGACUGACCGAGUAGUACUAUUAUCUAAGAGUUAAAUGAGAUCAUGAGAUUUCUGAGGUUUCCUGAGUCACAUGACUGACUGAGUUCCAUAGAUUAUAGCUUAACUGAGAUUAUCGUGGCAACAUGACAUGACUAUAGGCACACAGCUAUGUUUUUCGGGUACGAAUACCCCCAGGACUCGAUAGAAGAAAACUGACACACAUGGCAUGACUUGAUUAAAAGAUUUGAGUCCACAAUUCAUAAUAUCAUAAGUAGGGGAUAUCAUAUUUCAUAUAGUUAUUCAAUAUCUUAAACAUUGUAGGGAAUGCAUGGAUAUAUUUCAUGUACAUAUUGUAUAUCUCCAUUAUCUUACAUACUUCAUACCACCACAAUAGCAACACAUGAAAAGCAUGGAAUUCAUAUUGAAGUAUAUAGCUAACAUAGACUUGUCAUUUAGACAUCAUAGAACCAUACAAACAUGAAUUUCUAGCAUCCUAAGCAUUUUAUCAAACACCUUGCAUGUAUUCUUUAAGGCAUAGGUGAGUUUCACACUUGCACCAUAUUAAACCACCCAAAGUUUAUGGUUUUUAAUUAAAAAACAUAUAUAUUCCAUGAAAACACCUUCAGACAUCACAUUGAAACUUAAACAACAAUCGUCAACAUGUACAUACUCAUAUCACCACAAAAAGGUUACAAAAUAAUAUUUAAAACAUGGUUCUUGAGCUCUAUGAACGGAUUGGAUCCAUAGAUGAACACUACGCAUACCUUAGAAAGGAAACCUUGAUGAUUUGUUGGAGAGUUCUUGGAUUAGGAAACUUAAUUCUCAAUUAUCUUAGAAAAAGGCUUGAAUCUUGCUUUUGAGAGAUGAGUUUGAUGGAAACCCUAAUCUUGUGGUUGGGAGCGUAAGAGAAGGUUUUUGAGCUGCUUAACUGAAGAAAAAUGGGAAAAAUUACGCCUCUUUAGGGUUAUAAUUCGUGAAAGGUGAAGGAAAUGACCAAAAUACACUUAUGAAAUAAAUUCCCAGUUGCUGAAAAAUCAUAGUUGACGACCUUCGUGAUAGGGCAUCACAAAUAUGAUAAGCUAUCAUGAAUGCCGUCACUUAGGAGCUGGUUUCUGCCUAAGGCUGACGACCUUCGUGAUAGGGCAUCACAAAUAUGAUAAGCUAUCAUGAAUGCCGUCACUUAGGAGCUGGUUUCUGCCUAAGGCUGACGACCUUCGUGAUAGGGCAUCACAAAUAUGAUAAGCUAUCAUGAAUGCCGUCACUUAGGAGCUGGUUUCUGCCUAAGGCUGACGACCUUCGUGAUAGGGCAUCACAAAUAUGAUAAGCUAUCAUGAAUGCCGUCACUUAGGAGCUGGUUUCUGCCUAAGGCUGACGACCUUCGUGAUAGGGCAUCACAAAUAUGAUAAGCUAUCAUGAAUGCCGUCACUUAGGAGCUGGUUUCUGCCUAAGGCUGACGACCUUCCUGAUAGGGCAUCACAAAUGUGAUAAUAUAUCACGAAUGUCAUCACUUAGGAGCUGGUUUCUGCCUAAGGCUGACGACCUUCAUGAUAGGGCGUCACAAAUGUGAUAAGCUAUCACAAAUGUCGUCACUUAGGAGCUGGUUUCUGCCUAAGGCUGACGACCUUCGUGAUAGGGCAUCACAAAUAUGAUCCUUAAUAUACAUCUAACUUACUCAUAAAACUAUAAAAGAACCAUGAUGUACUAUGCAUGAUCUUGGUACAUAGAUCUAAUAUUGGUUUGGAUUUUUUGGAGUAUUACAAUGUCUCCCCCUUAGAAACAUUCGUCCUCGAAUGAUGACUACUUGAGAGGGGAGAAAAGAUAAAAUGAUGCAUACACUGAUCAUGCUCAACUGGCAUAUGAUUUUAGGACUGAAUUGAAUUCUAAACUGAAUAUAUCCCAACUGAUCAUGCAUAUCUGAUGCAUGACUGAUAAGCUGAACUCAUGAAUGUAUGAUAAGUUAUGCACUGAUACUUGAUACCAAUUUUGUAUUGGAAUUUUGAACAUGUAACUGAAUAAGCUUAAGAAAAAUAGUUACCUCAAUCUAAGUCUGAAUUAGCGAAGAAAAGAUGAGGGUACUUGGUUCACAUGUCUGCUUCUGCUUCCCAAGUAGCUCCCUCCAUGGACUGAUUCCGCCAAAGAACCUUGACUAGAGGGACUUCUUUGUUUCUCAGCCUACGAGUGUGAUAGUCAAGGAUUUCAAUUGGAAUCUCUUCAUAAGAGAGGCUAUUUUGAAUGUCAACGCUCUGAAUAGGGACUACAACUGCUAGGUCAUCUAUGCACUUCUUGAGCAAAGAGACAUGGAAGACUGGAUAAACUAAGGCUAGAUCUGAAGGUAAUUUGAGCUCAUAGGCUACCUUGAUGAAGCAACUGAGAAUCCUGAAGGGACCGACAUAUCGGAGACUGAGGUUUCCCUUCUUGUCGAAUAUCUUCACUCCCUUCAUAGGAGAGAUCUUGAGAUAGACAUAGUCAUCGACCUCGGAUUCGAGAUCCUUUCUACGAACAUCCGCAUAAGACAUCUAUCGGCUCUGAGCAGCUCGGAGUCUUUCUCUGAUCAACUGAACUUUCUCUAAGGCAUCGAAUACUAAGUCAGGCCUUAUGACUGCGGUCUCAAUAACUUCGAACAAACCAAUCAGAGACCUAUAUCUCCUACCAUACAGAGCUUCAAAUAGAGCCAUCUGAAUACUGGAGUGAUAGCUGUUGUUGUAUGCGAACUCAAUCAAAGGCAAGUGGUCAUCCCAGCUUCUCUUGAAAUCAAUUGCACACGCCCUUAGAAUAUCUUAUAGAGUAUGAAUAAUCCUUUCUUCUUGACCAUCUGUCUGAGGAUGAAACAUUGUACUGAGAUGAAAUUGGGUACCAAGACCCUUGGGAAUGCUUUCCAGAAGUGAGAGGUGAACUGGGUACCUCUGUCUGAGAUGAUAGAUAGUGGAACAUCGUGUAAUCUGACCAACUCCCUGAUAUAAAGUUUGGCAUAAUCCUCAGCUGAGUAAGAGGUAUGAACUGGAAAGAAAUGAGCUGACUUGGAUAUUCAGUCUACAAUGACCCAAACUGAAUCAUGCUGAUGACGUGUUCUAGGCAAACCCGUUACAAAAUCCAUGUUCACUUCUUCCCACUUCCAAGUAGGAAUAGUGAACUCCUGCAUGGAACUACUAGGUUUCUGAUGCUCUAUCUUAACCUACUGACAUGUAGAGCACUUAGCCACAAACUCUACAACGUCCCUCUUCAUCCUACUCCACCAAUAGAUCUUCCGCAAGUCGCGGUACAUCUUAGUGGCCCCUGGAUGAAUAGAGUAUUGUGCUCCAUGCGCUUCUGCAAGAAUUUGAUGCCUCAAUUCAUCUACACCGGGAACACACAGACGACCCUGACAACGAAGAACACCAUCUCCCCUUUGGGAGAAAACCUCUACUUCCUGACUCUGAACUGUCUCUUUUAGCUUGACAAGGCUAGGGUCCCUAUCUUGCUUCUCUUUCACCUCGGAAACUAGAGAUGACUCUAAACUACUCUGAACACAUACACCACCCUCUGAAGAGUUGACUAAGCGAACUCCUAGUCUGGCAAGCUGAUGAAUCUCCUGAGCUAACUUCUUCUUACUAUCCUCAACAUGGGAAACACUACCCAUGGACAAUCUACUGAGUGCGUCGGCCACUACAUUGGCCUUGCCAGGAUGAUAAAGGACUCUCAUGUCAUAAUCCUUCAAGAGCUCUAACCACCUUCUCUGACGAAGAUUGAGAUCUUUCUGGGAAAAAACAUACUGAAGGCUCUUAUGAUCUGUGAAGACGUCUACAGAACACCGUAUAGAUAAUGCCUCCAAAUCUGUAAGGCAAAGACAAAUGCUUCUAACUCAAGGUCAUGAGUAGGUUAAUUCUUCUCAUGGGGCUUUAAAUAUCUGGAGGCGUAGGCUAUGACUCUACCAUGCUGCAUAAGGACACAACCUAAACCUACUCUGGAUGCAUCAUAAUAUAGUACGAAUCCAUCGGAACCAUCGAGAAGUGCUAAAACUGGAGCUGAGGUGAGUCGAGUCUUCAACUCCUGAAAACUCUUCUCGCAAGGUUUUGACCACUAAAACUUGACCUUGUUCUGAGUCAAUUUGGACAUAGGAGAUAUAAUAGAAGAAAAUCCCUUAAAAAACCAUCUGUAAUAGCUAGCCAAACCCAAGAAACACCUGAUAUAUGAUGGAGAGAUAGAGUAAGGCCAGUUUCUUACCGCUUUAAUUUUUUGAUGAUCUACUCUAAUACCAUCACCAGAAAUAAUGUGGCCAAGGAAUGCUACUGAUCUUAGCCAAAAUUUGCACUUACUAAACUUGGCAAACAACUGGUGAUCCCUGAGAGUCUGAAGAACAAUUAUGAGAUGGUCUGAAUGAUCACGCUCUGUGUGAGAAUAGACUAGAAUAUCAUCUAUAAAGACUAUGAUGAAUGUGUCAAGUACUGCUUAAACACCCGGUUCAUCAAGUCCAUGAAAGCUGCAGGGGCAUUGGUAAGACCAAAGGAUAUGACUAGAAAUUUAAAGUGACCAUACCAAGUAUGAAAAGCUGUUUUCAGAAUGUCACAUUCUCUAAAUCUGAGCUGAUGAUAUCCUGAUCUGAGGUCUAUCUUGGAGAAAUAACUGGCACCCUGAAAUUGGUCAAAUAAGUCAUCUAUCCUAGACAGCGGAUACCUGUUCUUGACCGUGACUUUGUUGAGCUGACGGUAAUCAAUACACAUUCUGAGAGAAUCAUCUUUUUUGCACACGAAUAAGACUAGCUCACCCCAUGGGGAUACACUGGGCCUAAUGAAUCCCUUAUCUAAGAGAUCCUUCAACUGAUCUUUCAGUUUCUUGAGUUCUGUUGGUGCAAUUUUGUAUGGUGGAAUAGAAAUAGGCUGAGUAUCUGGGAGAAGGUCUAUGCCAAAGUCUAUUUCCCUUUCGGGAGAAAUGCCUGGAAGAUCUUCGUGAAAGACAUCUAAAUAUUCAUUAACCAUUGAGACUGAUUCAAGACUGGAAGAUUCAGAACUGGAAUCCUUAACAUGGACAAGAUGAUACAUACACUCAUUAGAAAUUAUUUUUCUUGCCUGAAGGUAGGAAAUAAGCUGACCCCUGAAAGACGAAGUGCUCCCAUUCCACUCUAGGAUGGGCUCAUUCGGGAAUUGAAACUGAACUAUCCUAUUUUUGCAAUUGACUAUGGCAUAGCAGGAAUAAAGUCAAUCCAUGCCGAGAAGGAAUGAAGCCAAUCCAUGCCAAGAAUGACGUCAAAAUCAGUCAUCUCUAACUCGACUAAAUCUGCUGAUGUGGAUUUUUGAAAUAUCAUAAUCGGGCAGUUUCUAUAUACCCGUCGAGCUAUGAUGGUUUUACCCACUGGGGUAGAGAAUGAAAAGGGCUCUGCUAAAAUUUCAGGACUGAUUCCAAAAUCGCUUGCUAUGUAUGGAGUGACAAAAGACAAGGAUGCACCUGCGUCUAGCAAAGCAUAAACAUGAAUAUAGAAAAUUUGUAACGUACCAGUAACGAUAUCAGGAGAAUUUUACUGAUCCUAUCGGGUCUGAAGAGCAUAAAGUCUAUUUGGGCGUUGACCACUAGUAGCACGGGAAGUGGCACCCUGCUGGUUCGGGCGACCAAACUGAGCUGUGGAACGAUUCUGCUGACCCUGAGGGCCUGGCUCAGGACACUCCCUAAUCCUGUGGCCUGGCUUACCACAACCAAAACAGACAUCACUAUCGGCUCUGCAAAUACCCUUGUGGUUCUUACCAUAAGUCUGACAAAGGGGGUUUGUUCGGGCAUUGCUAACACUGCCCUGAGAUUUAGAGCCUGGUGCUCUGUCUCUAUUGCCAUCCCUGAACUUCGGCACUGGGGCACUAGCGGAGGAAGGGGCUGGAACUGCUGACUUAGGAUAAAACUAUAAAUGAUUUCCUCUCUCUAAUUUGGGUUGAGAAAAACUAAAACUGCCUGAUCUUACUCUCUUGUUCUGCGUCUCCCUAGUCUUAACCUUCUGCUCCUCUAUCUGUUGAGCAUGGGUCAUGAGCCUGGCUAAAGUCAUAUCAGUGUUCAGCAUCGCAGACCUACACUUAUUUACCAAGCUAUCAUUCACCCCUGACACAAACUUGCUCAUCUUAGCCCUGUUGUCUGCAACCACAUGAGGGCCAUAUCUGGCUAGCUGAGUAAAUAUAGGAGAAUACUCUCUAACUGUCAUAUUUCCCUACCUGAGACUGAUAAACUUAAGAACUUUGGCCUCUCUCAGCUCUUGGGGAAAGUAUCUGUCUAAGAAAGCCGUGACAAAUUCUUCCCACUCAAUAGGACCUGCAUCUUCUAACCUUUCUGCUAACCAUUGCUUGUACCAAGUGUGAGCGACAUCCUGCAAUUAGUAUGUGGCUAACUCGGCACUCUGAGAAGAAGUGAAUCCCAUGAUAUCAAUGACCUUCUAGACUUGGUCAAUGAAUUUCUGAGGAUCCUCGUCUGGCUAAGACUCAAAGAAGGACGGAGGGUUCAUUUGGGUGAACUCCCAAAUCCUAACUGCUGCUGAAUUGGCCACUGGGGCCAUUCAUUUUGGGCAGCCACAGACUGAGCAAGUGUGGUGAAUGCAGCCCUAAACUCCGCAUGAGAAACAUCUUCGCCCAAAGGAUCUUCGGGCUGAGGAGUUGGUUGAUUUCUUCUCUUUAAAGACAUGUUUCUGAAAUAAGAGAAGAGUGGAUUAGACUGAGAGACUGACUUGAAAUUAUGUUUACUAGCACAACAUGAAUAGUGAAAAAAGCAAACUGUUCCUAAAAUAUCUCAUAACCUCCUGUACAUAAAUGUGGCGCGCAACACACCCAUGUAUAAGACUCUACUAGAUGCGGCUUUCAGACUUCCUAGGACUCUAUUGAACCUUAGGCUCUGAUACCAAGUUUGUAAUGCCCCGAUUUCUGAACCGAAAUGCUACACGGUACUUAUAACCCCGAAGGAUCACAAGCUAAUCCAUGAAUGAUAUCUGUACCUGUACACUGUAAUAUAUAACGUAAUAAUGCAGAAAACAUGAACAUGUAGGCCAUAAGGUUCAAUUGAAUAAAGAAUCUGUCAAAACAUAACAUCCAUAUGGGUGAAACAUACCCAAAACAACUGAAAACUGAAUCAAAUCUGAACAUAAGUUUGAAUACUGAAUAUGAAAGCCUCUAAGUGUUGUCUGAAUAAGGAUUUGAAGGAACAUGUCUCCAACUAACUCCGUAAACUGAUAACUGGCUAAAAUAAUAAUGAAUAAAUCAAAUCAUAUUGUCCUCAAAUGAAGAGGACUCAUUGAAUCUCUACGACUGGAAAUGUUACUUCUACUGCUGAUCUAGAGCUCGUGUCUCUGAACCUAUGGUGUAACACGAAAAUAAAGCACCAUAGUGCAAAUGCGUCAAUACGAGGGAAUAUACUGAGUAUACGAGUGAGGUAGGAUAAAUAUAAAUAGGGUUUACAUGCAUGAACAAUGCUAACUGUCUGACUGACAUGAACAUAGGAGUACAAACAUGCAUACAUAGUAACUGAAAUUGUGGGUGCAUGAUAGCUAGUCCUGUAUGCUAAUACAUGGUUUACUGAUGGCUAACAUAACUGAUACUAAAAUUCUAACAACAUGGGCGACUGUAUUUGACAAUCCUGAAUUUGAUGGAACUAUUUGAGUUUCGUAUUGUAACUGAGUCUGACUGUAUCUGACAAUCCUGAUAUGCUAAAAUCUGGAUAUCUAUCUGAGUUAUUUUACUAAGACUGAUUUUGAAACUGUGGGAGGUAGUUGUACUGAUUUUGAAACUGUGGGAGGUAGUUGUUUAACCGACAUGCCCCAAUAACGUAUAUAGCUAAGUUGGGGUCCAAUCUCUGCCCCUACUGGAGGGGUGUCAAUACCGCGCUACUAGUAAGGAUAAUUGUGGGUGACCCUUAGCUGGCAAGUAUUCGAAAGGAGAAUGGUGGGAACCCUAAACUGACAGGUUAAGCCACCCCAUCAACCCUACUCUGACAGGCUAAGAUAUCUCAACCUACGCUGGCUACGUAGUUCUGAAAUAUAAGGAUGACUGCUAAGAAUCACACCCUUAACUGGUAGGUGAGUCCCCAUCCUUGGGUUCACUCAGUGCUAACUUUUACUCCCAUCUGAAGAGAAUAAACAUGAUUCAACUGACUGUACAUGGACAGAUUAACUGACUUCCGUUGACUGACGGAGUAGUACUAUUAUCUGAGAGUUAACUGAGAUCAUGAGAUUUCUGAGGUUUCCUGAGUCACAUGACUGACUGAGUUCUAUAGAUUAUAGCUUGACUGAGAUUAUCGUGAUAACAUGACAUGGCUCUAGGCACACAGCUAUGUUUUUUGAGUACGAAUACCCCCAGGACUCGAUAGAAGGAAACUGACACAUAUGACAUAACUUGAUCACAAGAUUUGAGUCCACAAUUCAUAAUAUCAUAAGUAGGGGAUAUCAUAUUUUAUAUAGUUAUUCAAUAUCUUAAACAUCAUAGGGAAUGCAUAGAUAUAUUUCGUCUACAUAUUGUAUAUCUCCAUUAUCUUACAUACUUCAUACCACCACAAUAGCAACACAUAAAAAAUAUGGAAUUCAUAUUGAAGUAUAUAGCUAAAAUGGACUUGUCAUUUAGACAUCAUAGAACCAUACAAACAUGAAUUUCUAUCAUCCUAAGCAUUUUAUCAAACACCUUGCAUGCAUUCUUUAAGGCAUAGGUGAGUUUCAUACUUGCACCAUAUUAAACCACCUAAAGUUCAUGGUUUUCAAUUAACAAACAUAUAUAUUCCAUGAAAACACCUUUAGACAUCACAUUGAAACUUAAACAACAAUCGUCAACAUGUACAUACUCAUAUCACCACAAAUAGUUUACAAAAUAAUAUUUAAAACAUGGUUCUUGAGCUCUAUGAACGGAUUGGAUCCAUAGAUGAACACUACGCAUACCUUAGAAAGGAAACCUUGAUGAUUUGCUGGAGAGUUCUUGGAUUAGGAAACUUAAUUCUCAAUUAUCUUGGAAAAACAGCUUGAAUCUUGCUUUUGAGAGAUGAGUUUGAUGUAAACCCUAAUAUUGUGGUUGAGAGCAUAAAAGAGGGUUUUUGAGAUGCUUAACUAAAGAAAAAUGGGAAAAAUUAUGCCUCUUUAGGGUUAUAAGUCGUGGAAGGUGAAGGAAAUGACCAAAAUACCCUUAUGAAAUAAAUUCCCAGUUGCUAAAAAAUCAUAGCUGACGACCUUCGUGAUAGGGCAUCACAAAUGUGAUAACCUAUCACGAAUGUCGUCACUUAGGAGCUGUUUCUGCCUAAGGCUGACAACCUUCGUGAUAGGGCAUCACAAAUGUGAUAAGCUAUCAGGAAUGUCAUCACUUAAGAGCUGGUUUCUGCCUAAGGCUGACGACCUUCGUGAUAGGGCGUCACAAAUGUGAUAAGCUAUCACGAAUGUCGUAACUUAGGAGCUGGUUUCUGCCUAAGGAUGACGACCUUCGUGAUAGGGCGUCACUAAUAUGAUAAGCUAUCACGAAUGUCGUCACUUAGAAGCUAGUUUUUGCCUAAGGCUGACGACCUUCGUGAUAGGGCGUCACAAAUGUGAUAAGCUAUCACAAAUGUUGUCACACUGUUUCUAGCUUGACAUGCUGGAGUAAAAUAGAAAUAACUCUUUGCUCCAAUAUCGGAUUUAAGCGAAAUUGGUAUAGUUGGAAAGCUAAUUCAAUUAUCUAUCUGUUGAUAGGUCAUGAGCUCAAAAAUUCCAAGUAUAAUGAGAUAUAUGCUCCUUUGAAGUUGACUAUACCAAUAUCCUUCUCAAGAAUUCAAUCGGUAAGGAAUGUUUUGAUUCGUCUGAUAGCUGGGAGUUAUUUGAAGCCUUGAUAUACAUCUAACUUACUCAUAAAACUAUAAAAUUACCAUGAUGUACUAUGCAUGAGCUUGGUACAUGGCUCUAAUAUUGGUUUGGAUUUUUCGGGGUAUUACAAUAUUAGAGUUGCGACCCAAAUUUUAUUGAUCCGACCUAAAAAAUUUCACGGUGCGACCCAUAUUUGUGAUUUUCAAUAGGGUCUGUGGUGGUAGCGUAGGGAUCGGAUUGAUAAGUGCAAUUAGUGGGUCGAUUUUGAUCAUUCAUAAAUUACGUCGCUCCACAUUGUACUCCUCUCAUUUUCAUAGUGAAACCUCCUCUGCCUCUGCCCGUGGUUUUUCCCACAAGGGUUUUAAUGUAAAUAUGUGUGUUCUUGUUUUAUUUCUGCUUGUGGUUUACUUUAUUUCUGCCCGAUUUCUAACAGUAGCCUUACCUGGUAUCUGCUGAUAGCGGGAGGUGACAGGUAUCCCAUAUAAUUAGUCGAGGUAUGUGAAAGUUGGUCCGGAUGCCAGAGUCAUAAAAAAAGUAACAACAGGAUACAAUAGAACAUGUAACAACCAUCCAAACAAGAUAUAUGCUUUAAGUAGUAUAUAAAGAUCUUGGACUACUAUUUUCAUUGCUUUAAGGCAAUGGUUAAACCCUUUGAUUCUUUCUCAAUAUUCAGCUUUGCCUCUUUCGGCAAUAUCUACAAGGAUUAUUACUUAGAUCUAUGUCUUACGAAAGCUAAGUAUAAGUUAUUAGACUUCUUGACACUCUACACGCAUGAGAGUUAAAGUAUUAGAUGUCCUUGCUAGACAAAAGAUAUUUGAGUGAUUCUCUUGCCUGAGAUCAAGUCCUCCAUACUCUUUGAUUCAACUUGCUCUUUUAGAUCUUUCACUAAGGUGAUUGCCCAUAAUAAGCUCACAUUCUAAUCCAAUACGUGGUAAUUUUUGUCAACUCCUCUGGGUGGUUUGGUCACAUCUUUGGUUUUAUCUGUCUUGUGAUAUUUGAUUGGUUUAAUGUUAUAGUCAUCUCACUUCUCUCCCCAACCUGAAUUAAGUAUGAUAUUAUUAUAACCUUGACUUUAGGGUACAUAGUGCAGUCCUAAGCCAAGAUAUUCUUAGUAGUUUCAGAGGUUAAAUCUCCUAUUUUUUGUUUAUUAUUGGAUGUACUUCUAGCUAUUUCUUUUUGAAUGAAAUAAUUUUGUUGAUUAUUUCUGUGCUCCAAACUUGAUGCCAACAAAAAGAUAAUGACCAUAAAAAAGAUCGACAGUGCAACACUAUCACUGCAGGAGUAAGAUAACUUUCUUGAAGUUGUCUCAAAUAUGUCAGGGUUGAGGCAUCCAGACAUUGUUCAAUUAAUAGGAUAUUGCGCUGAGCAUGGGACAUUUUUUGGUUUAUGACCAUGUCGCAGCUGUUAGGUUGCAUGAUAUACUGCA
rnacentral:lncRNA from 1 species